GGCUGAGUGGUGGAAUUGGCAGACACACAGGACUUAAAAUCCUGCGGGGUGAAUAGCCCUGUGCGGGUUCGAACCCCGCCUCAGCUA
rnacentral:tRNA from 1 species